GAACGCACCUUGCACCCUUUGGUAUUCCGAAGGGUACGCCCGUUUGAGUGUCAUUGUAAUCUCACUUCUACAACUUUAUUGUUGUUUGAAUGUGGACUUGGAUGUUGCCGUUUUAUCACGGCUCGUCUUAAAUGCCUGAGUGUACCCUGUUUUGCAGCGUAUCCAGUGUAAUAAACAUUUCACUAGAGUUGGUUGAAAGACCACGUUGACUAUAUGGGCUCUAUGCUUCAAACCGUCUGCCAUGUGGACAAUUUCUUGACAAUUUGACCUCAAAUCGGGUGGGACUACCCGCUGAACUUA
rnacentral:misc_RNA from 1 species